GACGAACGCUGGCGGCGUGCCUAAUACAUGCAAGUAGAACGCAGUUGCGAACGGGUGAGUAACGUGUAGGUAACUGCCUCAUAGCGGGGGAUAACUAUAGGAAACGAUAGCUAAAACCGCAUCCUGUGAGAUAGACCUGCGGUGUAUUAGCUAGUUGGUGAGGUAAAGGCUCACCAAGGCGACGUGACAUAGCCGACCUGCGAGGGUGAUCGGCCAAACUGGGACUGAUGAACGGCCCAGACUCCUACGGGAGGCAGCAGUAGGGAAUCUUCGGCAAUUGACGGAAGUCUGACCGAGCAACGCCGCGUGAGUGAAGAAGGUUUUCGGAUCGUAAAGCUCUGUUGUUAGAGAAGCGGUAACUAAACAGAAAGGGACGGCUAACUCCGUGCCAGCCGCAGCGGUAAUUC
rnacentral:rRNA from 1 species